rnacentral:rRNA from 1 species
AGAUUGAACGCUGGCGGCAUGCCUUACACAUGCAAGUCGAACGGCAGCACGGGAGCAAUCCUGGUGGCGAGUGGCGAACGGGUGAGUAAUAUAUCGGAACGUGCCCAGUCGUGGGGGAUAACGCAGCGAAAGCUGUGCUAAUACCGCAUACGAUCUAUGGAUGAAAGCGGGGGAUCGCAAGACCUCGCGCGAUUGGAGCGGCCGAUAUCAGAUUAGCUAGUUGGUGGGGUAAAAGCCUACCAAGGCGACGAUCUGUAGCUGGUCUGAGAGGACGACCAGCCACACUGGAACUGAGACACGGUCCAGACCUCCGUA